rnacentral:rRNA from 1 species
GACGAACGCUGGCGGCGUGCUUAACACAUGCAAGUCGAACGAAGUGGCGAACGGGUGAGUAACGCGUAAUCAACCUGCCCUUCAGAGGGGGACAACAGUUGGAAACGACUGCUAAUACCGCAUACUGAAGGAGGGGCUUGCGUCUGAUUGGCUAGGUGGAGGGGUAAAGGCCCACCAAGGCGAUGAUCAGUAGCCGGUCUGAGAGGAUGACCCGCCACAGUGGGACUGAGACACGGCCCAGAAUCCUACGGGAGGCAGCAGGGGGGAAGCUUCCGAAAUGGACGAAAGUCUGACGGAGCAACGCCGCGUGAGUGAUGACGGCCUUCGGGUUGUAAAGCUCUGUUAAUCGGGACGCGGUACCGGAAUAGAAAGCUACGGCUAACUACGUGCCAGCCGCCGCGGUAAUAC